GAGUCGUAACAAGGUUUCCGUAGGUGAACCUGCGGAAGGAUCAUUAAAGAAUUCGGCUUCGCGGCCAAGUUCUCACCCUUUGUAUACCGAAACUAUGUUGCUUUUGGAUGGGCCCCCUUGGCCAAGUUUCCCUUCGGGGCCAUUCGCCUAGAGGGCUUUGCAUAAAGUCCCUAACGAAAUCUCUGCUGUCUGAGUACUAUGCAAUAGUUAAAA
rnacentral:misc_RNA from 1 species